rnacentral:rRNA from 1 species
CCACCGCGGUUAUACGGGGGGCCCAAGCUGAUAGACACCGGCGUAAAGCGUGGUUAGGAAUAUUUUAUACAAUUAAAGCCGAAUGCUUUCAAGGCUGUUAUACGCAUCCGAAAGCUAGAAGUACAACUACGAAGGUGGCUUUAUAACUUCUGAACCCACGAAAGCUAAGAAACAAACUGGGAUUAGAUACCCCACUAUGCUUAGCCCUAAACAUUGAUAGGAGAUUACACCUCUAUCCGCCUGGGGACUACGAGCUUAAGCUUAAAACCCAAAGGACUUGGCGGUGCUUUAGAUCCCCCUAGAGGAGCCUGUUCUGGAACCGAUAAUCCCCGUUAAACCUCACCUUUUCUUGUUCUCCCCGCCUAUAUACCGCCGUCGUCAGCUUACCCUGUGAAGGGACAACAGUUAGCAGAAUUGGCACAGCCCAAAACGUCAGGUCGAGGUGUAGCGUACGGAAAGGGAAGAAAUGGGCUACAUUUUCUAGUAUAGAAAAUACGGAUGAUAUACUGAAAUACAUAUCUGAAGGAGGAUUUAGUAGUAAGAAGAGAAUAGAGUGCCCUUCUGAAAUUGGCCCUGAAGCGCGCACACACCGCCCGUCACCCUCCCCUAGCUCUUAAAAGUAAUUUCAUAAAACGCUAUAACUGCAAAGGGGAGGCAAGUCGUAACAUGGUAAGUG